rnacentral:rRNA from 1 species
GGUUAAGCGACUAAGCGUACACGGUGGAUGCCCUGGCAGUCAGAGGCGAUGAAGGGCGUGCUAAUCUGCGAUAAGCGCCGGUAAGGUGAUAUGAACCGUUAUAACCGGCGAUACCCGAAUGGGGAAACCCAGUGUGAUUCGUCACACUAUCAUUAACUGAAUCCAUAGGUUAAUGAGGCGAACCGGGGGAACUGAAACAUCUAAGUACCCCGAGGAAAAGAAAUCAACCGAGAUUCCCCCAGUAGCGGCGAGCGAACGGGGAGGAGCCCAGAGCCUGAAUCAGCAUGUGUGUUAGUGGAAGCGUCUGGAAAGGCGCGCGAUACAGGGUGACAGCCCCGUACACAAAAGCGCAUGUGCUGUGAGCUCGAUGAGUAGGGCGGGACACGUGGUAUCCUGUCUGAAUAUGGGGGGACCAUCCUCCAAGGCUAAAUACUCCUGACUGACCGAUAGUGAACCAGUACCGUGAGGGAAAGGCGAAAAGAACCCCGGCGAGGGGAGUGAAAAAGAACCUGAAACCGUGUACGUACAAGCAGUGGGAGCACCCUUUGGGUGUGACUGCGUACCUUUUGUAUAAUGGGUCAGCGACUUAUAUUCUGUAGCAAGGUUAACCGAAUAGGGGAGCCGGAGGGAAACCGAGUCUUAACCGGGCGUUAAGUUGCAGGGUAUAGACCCGAAACCCGGUGAUCUAGCCAUGGGCAGGUUGAAGGUUGGGUAACACUAACUGGAGGACCGAACCGACUAAUGUUGAAAAAUUAGCGGAUGACCUGUGGCUGGGGGUGAAAGGCCAAUCAAACCGGGAGAUAGCUGGUUCUCCCCGAAAGCUAUUUAGGUAGCGCCUCGUGAAUUCAUCUCCGGGGGUAGAGCACUGUUUCGGCUAGGGGGCCAUCCCGGCUUACCAACCCGAUGCAAACUGCGAAUACCGGAGAAUGUUAUCACGGGAGACACACGGCGGGUGCUAACGUCCGUCGUGAAGAGGGAAACAACCCAGACCGCCAGCUAAGGUCCCAAAGUCAUGGUUAAGUGGGAAACGAUGUGGGAAGGCCCAGACAGCCAGGAUGUUGGCUUAGAAGCAGCCAUCAUUUAAAGAAAGCGUAAUAGCUCACUGGUCGAGUCGGCCUGCGCGGAAGAUGUAACGGGGCUAAACCAUGCACCGAAGCUGCGGCAGCGACACUGUGUGUUGUUGGGUAGGGGAGCGUUCUGUAAGCCUGUGAAGGUGUGUCGUGAGGCAUGCUGGAGGUAUCAGAAGUGCGAAUGCUGACAUAAGUAACGAUAAAGCGGGUGAAAAGCCCGCUCGCCGGAAGACCAAGGGUUCCUGUCCAACGUUAAUCGGGGCAGGGUGAGUCGACCCCUAAGGCGAGGCCGAAAGGCGUAGUCGAUGGGAAACGGGUUAAUAUUCCCGUACUUGGUGUUACUGCGAAGGGGGGACGGAGAAGGCUAUGUUGGCCGGGCGACGGUUGUCCCGGUUUAAGCGUGUAGGUGUGUGUUCCAGGUAAAUCCGGUUCACUUUAACACUGAGGCGUGACGACGAGGCACUACGGUGCUGAAGCAACAAAUGCCCUGCUUCCAGGAAAAGCCUCUAAGCAUCAGGUAACAUCAAAUCGUACCCCAAACCGACACAGGUGGUCAGGUAGAGAAUACCAAGGCGCUUGAGAGAACUCGGGUGAAGGAACUAGGCAAAAUGGUGCCGUAACUUCGGGAGAAGGCACGCUGACACGUAGGUGAAGUGAUUUACUCAUGG